rnacentral:tRNA from 1 species
GGCUUUAUAGUAUAUAAAUACAUUGGAUUGCAAGUCUAAAGAUGUGUAAAACACUAAGGCUUA